AUAUACUGCUGGAAUACACAAAACAAGUUAUGAAACUGGGAAAUGUAUUGUUUGAGUUAUUAUCAGAAGCACUUGGAUUGAAUCCAAACUACUUAAAUGACAUGAUGAGAUGCGAUGAUGGACUUGCAAUUGCUUGCCAUUACUAUCCUUCUUGUCCUGAACCAGAAUUGACUUUAGGAGCAGCCAGACAUAGCGAUAUUGACUUUAUCACUGUGCUUCUGCAAGAUCAUAUUGGUGGCCUCCAAGUUCUUCAUGAAAAUAAUUGGGUUGAUGUAUCACCUCUUCCUGGUGCUCUUGUAAUCAACAUUGGCGAUCUUCUACAGGUAAUUUUUAUUGAGAUUUUUUUACACCGUCAGUUAAUCACAAUUCUAUCAUUUUUAUGACUUUUAAGAUUAAUAUGAUCAAAAUCAAAUGUUUGUAGUAAUCCAACAGUUAUGAUCAAUUGACAAUAUAAAAUUGUUAAUGCAUAUGAACUAAGCUCAUUUUCAUCUUUUGCUUGUUUUUUGUUUGGAUAAUUUCUUGUGAUUGUAUAGCUUUUAAGAGAGUGAAAGAUGCAAUUUUUCUUUAUUCAUAUUUCUCAGUCUUGUUGCAUCAUGAUUCAUAAUAUUACUUUUUAAAACAUGAGUUCUUGGGAUGAACAAUUAUUAUCGAGACUUUAUUUACCUCACCGCUGAACUCAAGAUUAUCAGAUUCAUUCCCUUAUGAACCGGAAGGUUAACACCAGUUGUGAAUAGAAUUAAAAAUUCACACCAAUAGUACUUUGAUGUGUACGUGCAGCAACCGAUAACCAAGUAAUGCAAUAAUGAUCACGAACAAAAAUGAGAAACACAAUCAAAGAGAAGAAAAACACACAAUAUUGUUUACCCAUUUCAGUCCAACAAAGGCCUACACAUGGGGGAAAGAGCAGUCUUCCGUUCUACUAAUCAAUUGAGUUUUGUUACACAAAGAUUCACAAAGGAGUUACAAGAAUUAACCUUCAAUCCUAGUUCUACCAUUUUCUCGAAUCUCCCAAAAGCAUUCAACUUUUAACCCUAAAGGUUUCCUCUUUCGAUCUAUCUAAGAUUGCUUUCUUUGUUUUUCACUCACUCAAACAUUAUGUUGUUUAUAUAUCGGCAUCAAUCUACUUAUAAUAUUGCAGUGCAAGACAUAACUUUAUGGACUACAACUUGCCAAACAAGAUUGUUAGUCUUGCGCAUUAAGAAAUAUUCUUGUGGCCCAUAUAUCUUGCCAACCAAUAUUGUUAAUCUUACACUUCAAGAGAUAUCCUUAUGGUCCACAUGUCUUGCCAACCGAGAUUACUAGUCUUGCACUUCAAGAAAUAUCCUUGUAACACACAUAUUUUGCUAACAAGUAGCUUAAUAAUUUUGAGUCAUACACAACAACACCGAUAAAAAAAAAGGCAUGAAUAUUUACUUUUUUUUGUUGAUUAACUAAAUUAACAAAUUUGUUGAAAACAGCUUAUAACAAAUGACAAAUUCAAGAGUGUUGAGCACAGAGUGGUGGCAAACCAUGUAGGUCCAAGAGUAUCAGUUGCAAGCUUUUUUAGAAGUUUUCAGCCAUCAACAAGGCUUUAUGGUCCUAUAAAGGAAUUAGUAUCAGAAGAUAAUCCUCCAAUGUACAAGGAAACUACAGUUCAGGAUUAUGUUGAAUUCUCCAUGGCAAGAGGCUUUGAUGGAAUAACUUCUUCUUUGCCAUAUUUCAAGAUUGGAAAUUUCUGAUGCACACACAACAAAUAUGGUUUAACAUGUUUUACAUUAUAAUUAAAAGAACUUUGUAAAAUUUACUUUGCUAUAUUUGGUACAUGCACAUGCGGCAUCUUUUUUUUAUUGUCCAAACUUGGCAUACAUUUAGAUUCUAUAUUUGUGUGGAUGUGUUAGAGUCGGGAUCCGUUGACACCAGGUGUCAAANNNNNNNNNNNNNNNNNNNNNNNNNNNNNNNNNNNNNNNNNNNNNNNNNNNNNNNNNNNNNNNNNNNNNNNNNNNNNNNNNNNNNNNNNNNNNNNNNNNNNNNNNNNNNNUAAGUUUGUUAAAUAUUGUUUUUAGUCUUUUUUUUUUUUUUUGAAGAAGCUAAAUUAGCCACCCAAAUUAAAUUUUUAGCCAUAUUGAAUUUUCUCCCAAAUUUUUUGCCCUAAAAAGUUCUAUUACUUUAUGGUAGGCACACUGAUAAAUCAAAGAUUGCAAAAAUAUGAUAAUACGAAACACAAAAAACCAUAUUUCAUAUUAUUAAUUCACAAAGAAUUAAUUAUAUUGGAGGGAAAAAAAAGCUUUUUUUUCCACAAACUCCAUGAAGAACAUGUUUUCUUCUUUUUCUUUUUUUUUUGAAAACCCAUGAACAACAUGUUGAUAGACCCACGCCAUUAAAAUAAGUUAAGGACAAAUUUUCAAAGGAAAAUAAAUUAAGAGGCAAGAGGUCGAAACAAGAGCACCAAACAUUGUUCUCAUCUGGGAGUAAAAACGAGGAGUAAUUUGGUGAGUAAUGAUCAAGUGGGCAUAAUUGAAGAAUAAACAUGGACCAUUAGAUCAAUUAAAAUCGAUGGAUAAGAUUUGGUGUCAAAAUUAACUUUGACACAUGGUGUCAAUGGAUCUGACACGAUGUAUUAUUCGUCUCAAAAGGAACAUUCAUUAUUAUUAUUAUUAUUAUUAUUAUUAUUAUUAUUAUUAUUAUUAUUAUGUCAAAAAAAAUUAAUUAUUACUUAUGUGAAAUGGUUAAAUGAAUUACUUCAUGUAUUACAAAAGGGAAAAAAUAUUGUUUAAUCUUAUCUUUUCCUUAUCCAUAUGGAAGUCCCAAUUUUAUUUUAUUUUUGAGAGGUGGAGGAAGUCCCAGUUUUUCAAUGGAUUGUCCCAAUCAUGAAAUUAUCUCUUUGACUAAUCAAUUAAACUUUUGUCAUUUGGAAGAAUUGUUCUAGCUUAAAAUUGAGAAGAAUGCAUCCAUUUAAUUUAAGGGUCUAAUGGGGUCGGUUAAUUUUCUCAAUACACAAAUUGACAAAUUUGUUAUCCACUAUGUACCACCUAUUAUGGUGGUUCUUUUUUUUUGGUUUUCACACUGGUUUCUAGGGAUGGGGCGCCAGUAGUCCAGAUUUCGGAGUCAAUUCUGACAUUAAGUGGUUCCGGUCCCUUACCAAAUGCUCAAUUAUGGUGGUCCAUUUUAGCCACUACUCAAUUAUUGUGAUUUUUUUCUGCGAAAUUAUUAGACACGACACUAAAGACGAUAUUGACAUGUUAACAUUAAUAUUUACACUGUCACAUCUUCGGUCAGAAGUAUCAGUGCUACAUAGUUUGAAUCCUCCCACUUGAUGGAUGCAGGUCUAUAAAGAGAUUUAAACUUGAAAAACUGUAUCCACAACAGGGAUAAGGAAAAAAAUGGAAAUCUCUAAAACCAAUGAAAUUUCAGUGACAACAAAACAUGACUAUGAUAGAAUAAGUGAGCUCAAAGCAUUUGAUGACACAAAAGAUGGUGUUAAAGGACUUGUUGAUGCUUCUGUCACAAAAAUCCCUCGCAUGUUCUAUCAUGAAUUCAACAAGGAUUCAUCUUCAACUUCAAGCAACAUCACCAAACUUGAUGUUCCUACUAUUGAUCUUGUUGAUAUUCAUCAAGAUCCAACCACACGGAAAAUAGUUGUCGAGAAAAUUAGAGAAGCAUCUGAAAAAUGGGGUUUCUUUCAAAUUGUUAAUCAUGGAAUUGAAGUGAGUGUUUUGGAUGAGAUGAAGAAUGGAGUGAUUAGAUUCUUUGAGCAAGAUUCUGAAGUGAAACGAGAACUAUAUUCGCGUGAACCUUCGAGGCCUUUCAUUUAUACUAGCAACUUUGAUCUUUAUAAUUCACCAGCUGCAAAUUGGAGGGAUACCUUUUAUUGUAUUAUGGCUCCAAAAUCUCCUAAACCAGAAGAUUUGCCAUCAGUGUGCAGGUAUAUAUUACAACUUGUGUUUAAAUACAACGGUCUAAUUUACAAAAUUACCCUUGAACUAUGAGCCUUGCUUAACGACUUGUCAAUUUUUCACUAAACCUAGGGUCAUACUUAACAAUAUCAUAUCUUUGUAACAGAUUUUGAUAAUAACUUAGAUUAAACACCAAGUUUAGGGCCAAACCAAUUGCAAACAUGAAAUUUUAAGGCCAAACCACGUUUGACUUUUGCAAACGCGCGUUUGAAGCGUUCUAAAACCUAACGAGUACUAAGAUAUUAUGCCCAUAUGAUUGCAGAGAUAUAAUACUGGAAUACACAAAACAAGUUAUGAAACUGGGAAAUGUGCUGUUUGAGUUAUUAUCAGAAGCACUUGGACUGAAUCCAAACUAUUUAAAUGAAAUGAGAUGCAAUGAGGGACAUGCAAUUGUUUGCAAUUACUAUCCUUCUUGUCCUGAACCAGAACUGACUUUGGGAUUAACCAAACAUACUGAUGAUGACUUUAUCACUAUGCUUCUACAAGAUCAUAUUGGUGGCCUCCAAGUUCUUCAUGAAAAUAGUUGGGUUGAUGUAUCACCUGUUCCUGGUGCUCUAGUCAUCAACAUUGGUGAUCUUCUACAGGUGAUUUUUAUCGAGAUUAAUUUUGAUGCAUUAUCGGUAUAAACUUUUUUCUGUUGAUUAACUAAUUAACAAAUUUUCUGUCAAAAAAAGAACUAAUUAACCAAUCUGUUGAAAACAGCUUAUAACAAAUGAUAAAUUCAAGAGUGUUGAGCACAGAGUGGUGGCAAACCAUGUAGGUCCAAGAGUAUCAGUUGCAAACUUUUAUAGCACAAGUUAUCAGCCAUCAACAAGGCUUUAUGGUCCUAUAAAGGAAUUACUAUCAGAAGAUAAUCCUCCAAAAUACAAGGAAACUACAGUUCAGAAUUUUGUUGAAUUCUCCAUGGGAAAAGGCCUUGAUGGAACUUCUGCUUUGCCAUAUUUCAAGAUUGGAAGUUUCUGAUGCACACACAACAACUGUGGUUUAACAUGCUCACAAUAUAAUUAAAAGAACUUUGUAAAAUUUACUUCUUUUGUGUUAACUUCCUUAGCAAGCAAAAGAAGUAAAUGUGUGUAGAGAUAGAGACUAUUACUCCUGUCUUUCCUAUUUGUGAAAAAGUUGUUAAAAAAUACCUAUUUGUGAAAAAGUUGUUAAAAAAAUACUCCCUACUUCAAGUAAUGUAGAUCAGAUUAAUUAAUUAUUCGAUGAAUCUGAAAAGUCUAGUUUUUUGCGUAUAUUUGAAACCAAGGAGAAUAAUGAUCAAUUUUAAUUAAUUUUUAAAGCAAUAUUAAUUGAUUUUUGAAUUGUAUUUUGGGAAUUCUAUGGUACAUCUAUCAAAUUUCAAUGUACCGGUACAAUAGAUUACUAAAGUACUAGGUAAAUGAAUAUUUUUUUCGAAAGAAAUCAUUUUUCUAUUAUUUAAAAUACUAUAAUAACUAAAUACUAUUUAUCAAAAUUGUAAAAAAAAAAUUAUAUUUUUUUGAAUUUGUUAUCACUCAUAAUAGUUAUUAUUGAAUUUUUUUAUGAGAAAAUGUAAAAAAGUUAGCAUAAUGCUAGUGUUUUGAAAAGUUAUUAUUGAACUCGUUUUUUUUUUAUGAAAUUAUCAUUUAUGAAAUACAAUCGACAGAUAGUGUUUUGAUUCAUAAAAUAAUCGUUAAUAUAGUAAUUAUUUGAUCUAAUAUACCAGUACAUUGAAAUUUGAUAGAUGUACCGUAAAAGCUCCCUUGUAUUUUCUAACAAUUUUUUUAAUAACAAUUGUAGUUUCUAAAUAAUAUUGCUUAUGUGAAAUGGUUAAAUGAAUCACUUCACUUAUUGCAAACCAGAAGAGAUAUUAUUUAAUCUUAUCUUUUCCUUAUCCAUAUGGAAGUCCCAAUUUUAUUUUAUUUUAUUUUUGAGAGGUAGAGGAAGUCCCAAUUUUUCAAUGGAUUGUCCCAAUCAUGAAAAUCGGUCCGUUUUUUUUGUUUUUUUGAAUGUCUAAUGGGGGCGGUUAAUUUUCUCAAUACACAAAUUGUCAAAUUUGUUGAACACUAGUAUGUACCAAUUAUUAUGGUGGUCCAUUUUAGCCGUCGCUCAAUUAUUGUGAUUUUGUAUCGACCGACUAUGAAUGUGAAGAACGAUUGUUUUAUAAGAGAGAUGACUCGUAUGUCGCGUCUCCCUCUUUUAUGAUCAUGGGAGCAUUUGAGCCGAUCUCGAACUUCCCCGGACUCCCCAACAUACACUAAACACGAUACUGAUGUGUUAAUAUAUACUAAUAAUAAGUUUUUUAAAAUUGGUAUAAUUGAAGGUAAAUCACAUGUGCUAUGUCGGAUACCAGACAUGUUUUCGAUCAGAAGUGUCGGUGCUACAUAAUACAUAUGACAUAAUGGAUGCAGAUCCACAAAGAGAUUUAAACUUGAAAAACUGUAUCCACAACAGUGAUAAGGAAAAAAAAAAUGGAAAUCUCUAAAAACAAUGAAACUUUAGUGACAACAAAACAUGACUAUGAUAGAGCAAGUGAGCUCAAAGCAUUUGAUGAAACAAAAGAUGGUGUUAAAGGACUUGUUGAUGCUUCUGUCACAAACAUCCCUCGCAUAUUCCAUCAUAAAAUCGACAAGGACUCAUCUUCAACUUCAACCAACAUCAACAAACUUGUUGUUCCUUCUGUUGAUCUUGUUGAUAUUCAACAAGAUCCAACAAGAAGGAAAAUAGUUGUUGAGAAAAUUAGAGAAGCAUCUGAGAAAUGGGGUUUCUUUCAAAUUGUUAAUCAUGGAAUUGAAGUGAGUGUUUUGGAUGAGAUGAAGAAUGGAGUGAUUAGAUUCUUUGAGCAAGAUUCUGAAGUGAAACGGGAACUAUACUCGCGUGAACCUUUGAGGCCUUUGGUUUAUAAUAGCAACUAUGAUCUUUAUAGUUCACCAGCUGCUUCUUGGAGGGAUACCUUUUAUUGUUUUAUGGCUCCGAAAUCUCCUAAACCAGAAGAUUUGCCAUCAGUAUGCAGGUAUGUUAUUGAUAUAAUCUUCAAUAUUGCCGUGAAGUUUAAGAUAUAUUAAAUCUUUUUCGUGUCACGAUCCUUAAUAUUGCCGUGAAGUAUGGUUAAAUGUGAUUGAUAUAGUCUCAAUCGUAGUAGCAAAGACAUUAGAAACUUAGGUGUUGCGGUUUAGAUUGCAGUCGCAGAGUUUUUUUUUUCCUAGAAAAAUAAUUGAUUAGGAUUAGUUUUGAAAUGAUUUUUGAUAUUAUCUUGAAUUUAUUCGAUAUUAUCACCCAAUUGUACUUGCGUCUCAGACUACAGAGCGACGACAGAACAUUUCUAUUAUUCAAGCUCAGAGUUUACAGAUUAUAUAACUUGUGUUCAAAAUUACCCCUAAACUAUGAGCUCCGCUCGAGCGACUUGUCAAUUUAUCGCUAAACCUGGAGUCAUACCUAACAAUAUCAUAUCUUUGUAACAGAUUUUGAUAAUAGCUGAGAUUAAACACUGAGAUAUUAUGUGCAUAUGGUUGCAGAGAUAUAAUGCUGGAAUACACAAAACAAGUUAUGAAAUUAGGAAAUGUAUUGUUUGAGUUAUUAUCAGAAGCACUUGGACUGAAUCCAAACUAUUUAAAUGAAAUGAGAUGCAAUGAGGGAAUUGUAAUGGUUUGCCAUUACUAUCCUUCUUGUCCUGAACCAGAAAUGACUUUGGGAGCAACCAAACAUACUGAUAAUGACUUUAUCACUGUCCUUCUACAAGAUCAUAUUGGUGGCCUCCAAGUUCUUCAUGAAAAUAGUUGGGUUGAUGUAUCACCUGUUCCUGGUGCUCUAGUCAUCAACAUUGGUGAUCUUCUACAGGUAAUUUUUAUCGAGAUUCGUUUUGAUGGAUCGUCUGUGUAAAACUUUUUACAUUGUUAGUUAAUCACAAUUCAUCAUUUUUUUUUUGUUUACAAUGGAGCUGAGGAUCGAACCCAGAACCUCUAGCAUAUUACUCAAAUCCCUCACCACUAUACCAAUCAUCGUGGCUUCAAUUCAUCAUUUUUAUUUGGAUAAUUUCUUGUGAUUGACCAGACUUUAUUCACUUCGCGGCCGAACUCAGAAUUAUAAGACCCUUUCCCUUAGGAACCAGAAGGUUAACCCCAGUAAAAAAAAGCAUGAAUAUUUACCUUUUUUGUUGAUUAACUAAUUAACAAAUUUGUUGAAAACAGCUUAUAACAAAUGACAAAUUCAAGAGUGUUGAGCACAGAGUGGUGGCAAACCAUAUAGGUCCUAGAGUAUCAGUUGCAAGCUUUUAUAGCACAAGUUUUCAGCCAUCAACAAGGCUUUAUGGUCCUAUAAAGGAAUUACUAUCAGAAGAUAAUCCUCCAAUGUACAAGGAAACUACAGUUCAGGAUUAUGUUGAAUUCUCCAUGGCAAGAGGCCUUGAUGGAACUUCUCCUCUGCCAUAUUUCAAGAUUGGAAAUGUGGUUUAACUUGUUUACAAUAUAAUUAAAAGAACUUUGUAAAAUUUACUUUGCUAUAUUUGUAUAAGUAAUUAAGAUUAUAAGAACACAAACCUACUUUGCUAUAUUUGUAUAACUUCUAUUUGUACACAUUUUCUAUCUGCUAUUAUUGAUAGCUUUUUCUAUUUGCAGCUUAAAUUUGUCA
rnacentral:lncRNA from 1 species